GCUUUUAGUACCUAUUUUGGGAGGUUACUGUAGUGAGAAAUAAUACAGAGAACAGCAGCAGAGAUAAGUGAAUUCAGCUGAGGUUCCAAUUACCAAUCUCAUUAAUAAAGCUAGAUCUCUAAGCUAGGUUAGGUAAUGGUAUUUCCAGGUGAGACUAGGUAAGCAGCUCCUUUGAGACUGGCGACAGACCUCCAAAGAGACACUUGAACAACAGCUAUUCAUUGAUCCAAACUCUCAAGGACAGCAACAGGAAAGUAGAUACCAUCAGACAUCAGUGCAUAUAACUUGGAGUAUUCAUGGACUGUCAGAUGAAUUACUAAUGUAUAUAAUUAAUGCACUAUACAUCUGCCCACUACGACCACUUGGCAUCAUUUCUAGAGGUCAUGCAGCCUGACAGGCUUGUGUGAAGAUACUCUGGAUAAGCAUAGGCACCGUCUUGUUUUCACUCAGGUGUCUGAGUUCGGUGACAAUAAAAUCAGGCAAUUCAAGAGGCUUUUCCAUAGGACUCAAGGAACAAGCUUUCUGAGCUUAAUGGAACAAAUUAUGCUGUCUGUUUUGGAUAUCACUUUCUGCUCCAUUGGGGCUAGAUACAAGAUAAAUGGUGCUCAUAAAUAGAGAAACAACCCUUGAGGCAAAAGAGAGAAGUCAGCUCUGCGAUCAACUAAUCCAUAUGUAACUGCUUUCCUAGCACUCCAUCUCUGCAACAGCUACUCACCAAAGAUCCCAGGAGAGAGGGGUCUGACUAGGAUGAGUAGAAGCAAAAUAGGAAGUAGUCCAGGGCGAGAGCAGUAAAGUUAGGGAAUCUGCAGACCUUGACUGCUUGGUAAAGGGCCCUGGACUGGAACCCAGAGAAGAGGGCAGGCCUGAAUUCCCCUAUCAACCACUGCAGAGUAGCAUCACUAAGGACAAUAAAUAAGAAGAAUGCUAAGAUCACUGCAGGAGUGACAUAGUCUGGGCAGCGUGUGUGAGGACUGCCUGACACUGCUUGUGGAGAGACACUUUGAAAGGCUACCCCAGAAGGGGAAACCGCUUAUUGACCAGGCUGGAUGACUGAGUCACGAAGAGGAAGAGUGACUCAGUGCAACCGCAGGAAAGGGCAUCGGCCUGGCUGAGCUAAUCCCCAGAACAGCCAGGAGGAGGUGCCACUCAGUGAUUACAGAAGCUAGAAGGCCAAUGUUAAGAAGGCCGGCUGCCGAUACACGUGCAUUCUGAAUCAGUAUUUUCCUGCCCGAAAACACAGCAAAAUGUUAGACCACACAUUUUGCUGCAUUCCAGUUUUUUUUCUGUGUAACAAGAGUAGCUCACCUAGAUUUCCAGGAAUCACAGGCUGACUGUAUGAAAAAUAAAGGAUCCACCUUAUUUUUAAGGGACAGCACCCUCACUACUUUAAUCAGGGCAGAAAAAUAUAUACUCAUGUAAGAGUGUAGGAUUGUAUAGAUCUUUAUUUGAAAACAUAGGGUGAAAUCUUUUCCCACUGAAGUCCACGGGAGUUUUGCCUCUGACUUCAGUCAGAUCAGGACUUUUUAUCUGAGCGGAUGCUUACUUAUUGGAUAUAGGGUGCAGGACAUAAGGGACAAAUUAAGGGUCCCCAUAUGUGGGGCACAACUAUAGAUAGACCAAAGCUGAAAUAAUUCUAUCCAUAGCUGUGGGCCUCAAAACAUGUAUUCCUACCAAUCCUCUCCAAAAAUCUCUAUUUCUGGCUUGAGCUGUCUGUCAUAGGCACCAAUCAGGUAGCUUGACACUUAAGAACACGCAUUUGUGACCACCAUUAACUUUGUGGGCCUCAAAAGACGGUCACAAAUUUUGAGUGGUGCAUAGUGCCAACAAGAAAGGGAGUCUGGGAGUCAGUCCUUUUGAAAGUGUAGCAUUCGAUAUUUCUGUCUUAGUUUUUUCAUCAUAAAAUAGAGAUGAUAAUGCUUGUGUAGGCCCCAAGCCUGUUUUUUUAAAAAAAUAAAAAUCAAUGCAUAUUCUGUACAUUUUGGUUUCAAUGGAGCUGCUCAUGUAAGUAAAGUUUAGGACAUAUACAAGUGUUUCACAGGACUGGAGCCAUACCUACCUAAUAGGUAUAUUGUGAGAAUUAAGGAUUCUGGCCCGAGUUAUAGUGUAUC